CUUCCUGGAAGAGAAGAGGUCAUGCCAUAAGUGCAUUUAAGAGUGGGAACUGGAGGAUACGUACCAGUGAGGUAGACUAAAAAAUGAGGCCUGGCUAUUCAUCACGACAUGAAAUUCAGAUGGAAUGUGUUUCUGCUGAGGAUUAUGAACUUUCCCGCUGAGAGUGUGAGCAUACAUGAUGGUGCUAAGCAACUGAACACAUGUAGAAAUGGUCAAGACAGCAUGUAGUUGGAAGUGUGUGCAUCACUUACAAGAUUUUGCUGCGAGGUCCUUAAGGCUUCCUGUAAAUGAUAUGACACAACACAGCACCUCAGAAGUGGCAGCUCAUCACCAGGUAGAGUGUCUGUGUGAGAAGAGAAGGGCAGAAGCAGA